UCGUAGGAAAUCUACCUUAUAGAGGGGGAUAACCUGGGGAAACUCGGGCUAAUACCGCAUAAUCUCUUUGGAGCAAAGCGGGGGAUCUUCGGACCUCGUGCUAUAAGAUGAGCCUACGUCGGAUUAGCUUGUUGGUGGGGUAAUGGCCUACCAAGGCGACGAUCCGUAGCUGGUCUGAGAGGACGAUCAGCCACACUGGGACUGAGACACGGCCCAGACUCCUACGGGAGGCAGCAGUGGGGAAUAUUGGACAAUGGGGGAAACCCUGAUCCAGCAAUGCCGCGUGUGUGAAGAAGGCCUUCGGGUUGUAAAGCACUUUCGGUGGGGAAGAAAUUCUCAAGGGUAAUAUCCUUGGGCGUUGACGUUACCCACAGAAGAAGCACUGGCUAACUCUGUGCCAGCAGCCGCGGUAAUACAGAGAGUGCAAGCGUUAAUCGGAAUCACUGGGCCGCGCGUAGGUGGAUAUUUAAGUCGGAUGUGAAAGCCCUGGGCUUAACCUGGGAAUUGCACCCGAUACUGGGUAUCUUGAGUAUGGUAGAGGGAAGUGGAAUUUCCGGUGUAGCGGUGAAAUGCGUAGAUAUCGGAAAGAACACCAGUGGCGAAGGCGACUUCCUGGACCAAUACUGACACUGAGGCGCGAAAGCGUGGGGAGCAAACAGGAUUAGAGACCCUGGUAGUCCACGCCGUCAACGAUGAGAACUAGCUG
rnacentral:rRNA from 1 species